CCCUUAGAUGUUCUGGGCUGCACGCGCGCUACACUGAUGCGCUCAACGAGUUUAUGAACUUGCCCGGAAGGGUUGGUUAAUCUUUUUAAAACGCAUCGUGAUGGGGAUAGAUUAUUGCAAUUAUUAAUCUUCAACGAGGAAUUCCUAGUAAGCGCGAGUCAUCAGCUCGUGCUGAUUACGUCCCUGCCCUUUGUACACACCGCCCGUCGCCCCUACCGAUUGAGUGAUCCGGUGAAUAAUUCGGACUGCAGUCGUGUUCAGUUCCUGAACGUGGCAGCGGAAAGUUUAGUGAACCUUAUCACUUAGAGGAAGGAGAAGUCGUAACA
rnacentral:rRNA from 1 species